AGAGAGCAAAGAAGAAAGCCAAAAAGAAAAGUCGAUUUUCGUGACUGGUUGCAUUUACUGCUGGUGAAAUUGCGUCUUUUUCGCGUACAAAACCCGCCCAAAAGUGCCGAAAUUGUGCGCGAAAGUGUACCCGACAGCGCAGGCAACGAUUUCCGCUAGCAGGAUGUCCUCCCGGGAGAUUGUAAUCGCCUCCGACAGUGACUCGUCCGUGGAGGACAAAUCGCCGGAAAAGUUGGACUCCAAGAAGAGCUCGAAGAAGCAUAAGAAACACAAGAAGCAUAAAAAAUCGUCGUCUUCUUCGCGCCAGGAAAAGGGCGAAAAGUCCAAAUCGAAAAAGCACAAAAAACACAAACGCAAAUCCCGCGGCGAGGACGGCGAAGUCAGUGAUUCCGCGGGAGAAGAUGACGGGUCGCAGAACCACAAGAACGGCUCCAAGAUCGACAUCAAAAAGCUCGAGCACGCGGUUCGCGUCAAGCCGGCCAAGAAUGAAGACGGCGGCAACUUGAAGGCCCUGUUGGAGAAGUCCAAAGCCGUGCCGGAGAUUUCGACGGAUCCGGAAAAGUUGGUGGCGAUUCUGACACAGUCGCUGGACAAGGGCAAGCCGGACGUGGUGUCGGUGGAGAGUGACAGCGACGGGACGGCCGUUGAGGACGCGCCGAGUCCGGACGUGGCAGUGAUCGAGGAUGAGCUGAACUUGGAGGAUUUGAUGCGUCAGAAGGCGCUGCUGCAGGCCCGGCUCGGGGAGUUUGCCUCGGACGAGGAAGAGGACACGGUGGAGGAGGGCAAGUCGCGGAAGUCGUCGGACAAGCGCAAGAAGAAGCGAAGCGAUGAGGUCAUUACGAUUGAGGGCGAUUCGAGCGCGGAGGAUGUCAACCGGCUGCUGAAGAAGGCUAGACAACGGAGUCGGUCUCGUGGCCACGAGGAACUGCGUAAGCGACGAUCCCCGGACACGGAGAGACGCGUCGUCCGAGCGGAACAGGAAUCGAAGGCCCGAGCGCGGCAACAGGAGCAAGAUCGAGAACGCGCCAGGGAAGAUCAUCGCCGGCAGCGUGAGCAUGAAGAGUACAACCGAAGGAUGGCCGAAGAGCGGUACGAGCGUGAGAAGGCACGUGAGAGAGACAGAGAGAGGAUGGAUCGUGAACGGGCGAGGGCGAGGCAGAGGGAGCGUGAUAGAUCCUUGGAUCGUUACAAUCGUGGACGUCCAUUGGACCGCAGCCGUGACCGGGGAGGACGCCGGUCAAUGGAUCGAGGCAGACGGAACAGCUCCAGAGAUCGCUUCCGAGGGCGAAGCCGCAGCCGGGACCGUGGCAGGUACGACCGAGAUGAUCGAGGCGGCCGUAACGGACGAGAUCGCGGAGGACGUCGCAAACCCGAGGACGACAAGUACAAGGACUCGCUCAGCGAGGGCCUGAAACAGCAGAAAGAAUCCAGCAGUGACAGCGAAAUCGGGGACAUUGACAUCGACGACGAAGAAGACGAAGAGAAGAUCAUCGAGAAGCGCAGAAAGCAACGCGAGGAACUGCUCAAGAAACUUGGCGCCAACAACGACGACAGCAACCCACCACCAUCCGAGAGCCAUUCGUCACCCCAAAUCGUAACAAAACAAGAACCACCACCAAAAUCACCCAUCAAACCACUCCCAGCCAGCAAACCCCGCAAAAAAUCCAACGACUAUUUCAUCAUCGAAGAACCGUCCAAAGCCUCGGACCGGCGACGCUCCAGUAACAACGACUCGCUGACCCCACCGAUCCCCAUCACCAGAGUGCAAACCAGCAACGCCGAAACCAAGAAGACGAAAGCCCAACCAUCCCAACCCGCGUCCGAGGACGACGAAACCGACGACGACGACCAGUCGAAGCAGGAAAAGUCCUCGAAGCGGGCCGAGUGGGACAUGUUUGCCGAGCAGGACAUCGAUUCGAACUUUGACUCGCCCAGCACGGUGGUGGCGAGCAAGCAGGGCGCGGAAAACCCCGCCCUCACGGACAACUGGGACGACGCCGAGGGGUACUACCGGGUGCGCAUCGGCGAGGUGCUCGACAGCCGCUACGUGGUGGCGAACUACACCGGCCAGGGUGUGUUCAGUACGGUGGUGCGGGCGAAGGACCAGGCGCGCGGGAACGCGAUGGUGGCGGUGAAGAUUAUACGGAACAAUGAAAUCAUGCACAAAACUGGACUGCGUGAGCUGGAGACGCUGAAAAAGCUGAACGACACCGACCCGGAAGAUCGCUACCACUGUUUGAGACUGUUCCGGCACUUUUUCCACAAACAGCAUCUUUGCAUGGUCCUGGAGCCGCUCGCGAUGAACCUGCGCGAGGUGCUGAAAAAGUACGGCAAAAACGUCGGCCUGCACAUCAAGGCCGUGCGCAGCUACACCCAGCAGCUGCUGUUGGCGCUGAAGCUGCUGAAAAAGUCCGGCAUCCUGCACGCGGACAUCAAGCCGGACAACAUCCUCGUCAACGACAACAAUCUGGUGCUGAAGCUGUGCGACUUUGGGUCGGCGUCCGCCGUCGCGGACAACGACAUCACGCCGUAUCUGGUAUCGCGGUUCUAUCGUGCACCGGAGAUCAUUCUCGGUCUGUCGUACGACUACGGCAUCGACAUGUGGUCCGCCGGUUGCACCAUCUAUGAAUUGUAUACUGGCAAAAUCUUAUUUAGUGGUAAAUCAAAUAAUCAAAUGCUUAAAUUUUUUAUGGAUUUAAAGGGCAAGAUACCGAACAAGAUCAUACGGAAAGGCCAGUUUAAGGAUCAGCAUUUCGAUCAGAACUGCAACUUCCUGUCGCACGAGAUCGACAAGAUUACGGAGCGGGAGAAAGUCGUCGUCGUGUCGGUGAUUAAGCCGAAUCGAGACCUACAGCAGGAGCUGAUUGCCGGCCAAAAUCUGCCGGACGACCAGAUUCGCAAAGUGGGCCAGCUGAAGGAUCUGCUGGACAAGGUGUUUGCGCUGGAUCCGGCGAAGCGAAUCUCCCUGAACCACGCGCUGGCGCAUCCCUUCAUCCAGGAUAAGAUCUGAGCGAGAUAAUCCGCGAAGGUGGCCCGGCGCCAGAAGUGGUGGAGCGCUUCGUCGUACUAAUUAUAUCAAUGUGUGAUAAGCCCCAUAGAGGAAGAAGAGUUGACACGUUGACGAUCUCUUGUUUUUACACGAUGCAAAAAUAAGAGAGCCGCGUGGAUCACCUUACACAGUGGGCUGGCUGACGGCGGCGGCGGCGGACGACUCGCCCUCCUACGCAUGGCCGAACCACGCAGCACCACCACCAACCUCUCUUUGUCUCAGCCCUCGGUCGUCGCCACCGCCCACACACGCAUCCCGGAAGCCAAACCGAAUGCUGUAGAGAUGAAACAGUCCCUUCAAAAAAAGUUAAGAAUCUUUGGAGCAAUUGUGCGUGUGCUGCUUGUGUGUGGGUGUGGGUGCGUGUGCACGCAAGGUUGAGCCAGUGCCUAUUUUUUCCGGGCGCCGUAAGAGGUAGUGACAUAAUUGACAUUUUCAAGUCAUUCUUAGUUUUACGUUUCGUUUAAACUCCUCUAUUUUACACUUUUAUUUUUCUUACUCUUGCCUCCUUUAAUCCCAAAUGCCCAUCCCAAUUCUUCCAAAUUUGUUAAAAUUUAAACCAAAAACAAAAAUUAAGCAAUCUAGCCAUUUCAAAUCGAUACAAUUAUCCUGUGAGCGAGUGAUCUUCUGCUGUUCUUUUUUUCUUUUCUUCUUUUGGUACUCUUUUCAGGUCUGAAGGACGAUUUCCCCCCAAAUCAGAAGAGUGCCGAACUUAAAACCAACAGCGUUGAACAGGUAAGUAUGUUUUGAAUGUUGUUGAAAUGACACAAAACAUAAUUUUGUAAUUUUAAUUUAACUUGCAAAAAAAUUUACCAAAAUUGUCACAAAAUACUUAAGUCACCUUUACAAUAAUGUUUCUGCCAAAAUUUUACAAAAUAUUUACGAUUGCAUGGUACUAGGUAUAUUGUUGACUGAAAAUUUUUACGUGUUUUUUCUCACUCUUUAAAAAAACAAUUUUCAUAUUGAAUAUUUGACCUUUUUAAAAAGUUAGUCUUGAUUCCAAAGUUUAAAAAGUAUGUUUUUUUUAGAAAAGAUUAGAGAAUUUCACAAAUGUUUCAUUAUUGCGCGUAUUCCCCAAAAAGACACGCGGAAAACCAGCCUAGGAACGACGCAACUUUCGGCCAAUACGCGCCGUCAAAUCCCAUACUGCGCGCUUGGCAUUGUUGCCAGGUAUGUUUUUUAUUGCACUUAACUGCCCCUGAUCGCAUAAAUGUCCCAUAUGCAUUUUUUUAUCACUUUUAAGUUACAAUUAUCCAUGUCUCAGGCAAUUUUAUUGGAAAUUUUCUGAACAUUUCGAACAAAAUAUUUUUAAGAACUAUUUAAAAAUAAUAAUAAAAACCGGGAUUUUUCAGUUAAUAUUAUACUUUAAUGUGAAGCCUUUAAUUAUUUUUUGUCAAAGAAAUUUGAUCAUCACUUUAAAAUGCUUAGUUCAAUUUUACGAAUUGCUGCACUAAAGUUUUAAAAACUUGAAGCUUGAAUUUCACUUAAAUAGUGCUUAGCUUUGGCUGACGAUGCGAAUAACCAAACGUCUAACAUGUUACUCUUAUAGGAAAUCGCCAUAAAAGAAGAUUUGAUGACAAACACUAAAACGCGUUUUUCUCGGAAUACUUGAUAUGGCAUAAUAGCCGAAUUUUAAAUUAUAGGUAGUGCGGUUUCAUCCCUUAUCCCCGAAUCCUACAUUCCCGAAUCCCACAUCCCCGAAAAUUAUUUUCCUGAAAAUUCCAUAUCCCCGAAAGUCAUUUACCCGAAUUGCCAUUUUACCGAAUUUUCGUUUUCCCGAAUUUACAUAUACCCGAAUGGUUACUUCACCGAAAAAUCAAUUUUCCCGAAUGAUAACCUUGAUUUUUUUUAAUAAAAGUAUGACCUUAAUAUUAAACUCUCCUAUGUGUGUUUUUUAAGAUGAAAAAAAAAACAAAUAGCCGUAGAAAACCAUUCAUAAACCACGCGGGCACUUAAAGAGUGCGGGGUAUUGAAAUCAUCCACGUUCCAUAAAAAAAAGAUUUUUUUUUUUGUAGGGGCAAUUUCAGCAAAGGACAAUUUUCCAAAACGGUAUCCACGUGGUAAGGAUUGAACAGCAACGAUAGCUUUAUGCGACGACUCGAUGGCUGGUUUUAUGAAGGCUUUGAACAUUUUUUUUUUUGCGUCCGCUUCGAGCUCUGCGACCAACCCUUUUAGUCAAAUUUAAAUAGUUGAUUAUUGAAUUACAAAAUGCAUUUCUUCGAAUAUUUCAUCACCCCCAUUUUAGGUUUAAAAUUACUUACUCACUUUAAAGUAGUUUAGGGGAUACUAAGCUCGACAGCCAAAAAAUAAAAGACGACUAAAAUAAUGUUUGUUUUCGAUUAUCCGAAGUGAACUUUUGACAAGGCCUUCGGAUAAUCGAGUCUGGACUGUAUGUUGAUUUUCAACUAAUUUUUUUUGCGAAAUGAUCAAUGUAUCAAAUCGACGCCGUUGUGCAAUCUUGUCGUUUGUCGCUUUUUGACGUUCCGAGAAAACGCGUUUUAAUGUUUGGCCUUGAAUAAACGAAAAAUAGAGCACGCAAUUUAAACAAUAACAAACACGUUUUGUUUGGUUGACCAUUCUGUGCAUUGUCCCGAAGUUUGGUUGAUUUUGGUUAUCAAGGUCCCAAUUUAUAACUACAAAUGUUUGCGGUAGUCAGGCAUGCACGUGUGUCAAACACGUUCUGACCUUAAAUCCCUUUGGCCAGUCGUCGCACUUAAAUCAAUUUACAGAGCGUGUCAAGUUAGCACAAUAAGAUUGAGACUUCUUUCAUAUGAAGAGAGACAACAAUGCACGGAGAUUUUUCAGUUUUUAUUGAAUAUCUUAGGAUUGAAAUCGAAUUUUGGGUAUCUGUGUAGGUAAAAAGGUGAGGCAUUGUGAGCUGCACAAAAUGGCGUUCUUACCUCAAUUUGGCUCAUUUAGAUUUGUUCAUUAGAAAUAUGCACUCUGCUCAAGAUGUUCUCCUUAUCUACAUAAAAAAAGGCAAAGGCUAAGGCAAAGUCACAUAAAACCAGUGAAACUUCUGACCUUAGAAUUUCCUUAAAUUUUAAGAGUUCUUCUUUCCAUUAAUAUUUCAAAUAUCGAAUACAAAAUUAUUGAUACGUUUGUAGGUAAUUUUCAGUCGCAUUCAAAUAAGCAAAUCCAAAAUAUUUGAUUGCAAAGGCGACUUCCUAUUACACUGGCCACUCAGGAACCGAUUCCGGAAAAUCGGCAAAUUGUAUGGAGAAAGUUACGUAAAAUCAAAUUUUGAUCACAGGAGGAUGAAUAAGCAAAAAAUCAAAAAACGUCAACAAACGAAAAAAAAAGGCAGAACGAAGUUUGUCGGGUAAGGUUUGUUUUGUUAUAUUUUUUCUCAAAUAAUUGCAUCGAUUGCUGCAGGCCAAGGGUGCAUGAUACUGAUGAUACUCGUCGGUUGACACCCAGGCGAGGAACAUCCCGGAAGGAGCCCAACUACAUCCGUAGUGCUGUUUGGACAAAACAGCAUGGCUCUGGUUCCUUGCAAGUGUCCUAUUUUCUUACCUCCACGUUGGCUUGGUUUAGUCAUCAUGAUGACAAGGUGUAACCUAGCUGGUGGCCUGUGGAAACGACUCGUAAACCUUUGACCAGCGAGGGUCAGAGUAGAGACGGCUAGAAGAAAGGGGCGCGUCAAUGUGGGAAAGGGAAGUAAUUUGUGAUUGUAGACGGUAUUGUUUUGAUUCGCAGUAUGUUGAGUCAACUGCUGUGUAUGUACCUGAGCAUCGCAGAACGGGGUUUCCCUUCUUUACAUUUCAGCUAACAGCUAUCUUCUGUUUAUUUUGUUUUACUGAUUUUCUAACACGGCUUCUGUUUAUUAUCCUCCAUUUGAUUUCGAUUUUACUUAUUUGAUUCUCUUAUCUCGCAACGCUUUUCCACUCUAUUGUACCAAUUGAUGCUGCUGUAACAAACUGUCUGCUUUCCCUUAAUUUGGCAGCGAAGUCAAUUUUGUUAAUCAUGUGCCUUUUCUUUAUUUAUCUAUUUGAAUAAUAUCUCAUCUUGCCUGUAAAUUGCCCUCUAAGCUUGUUUGUUAUUUCUAUUCAUUAACUAUUGUUAAUUUCUUUAUCUUCUUCAUAAAUUACUAUCUUUCUUUUACUAUUGAUUCUUUACAUAGUAUAUUUCCUUCACUGUCCAUUGUUUUGAAACUUCACCUUUUUCUUAAGCAAGUGAGGUUCGAGCCCUUACUCAAUUUAUGGAAUAAUUAAAGGAUUAACACAAAUAUUACUAUUGUACUUUUGAAAAACUUUCCUAAAAUGCUUAGGACCAAAAUAUUGUAACAAAACACCGCGACAAAAGAAAUAGCAACAGAUAAACACAACUCAACAAUAGGGAAGAUUUCAGGAGAAAACAAUACACAGUUAAAUAAUAAUUAGUUUUUGAAAUCAAACUAAAAAUAAAACAGUUUUUGCUUUAAUGAAAGUUGAUAGGCACACUAUAAAUGGUUAGGCGCUUAUACUUACAUCAAACCCUACGUAAUGUACCACCCCCGGCCGAGUUAAAUGCGUAACCGGAAAAGAAGGUGUGCAUGCCUGGCACGAACACUCAAAGCGUGUUCUAGCGUGUUGCUCGUACUGACUCAGAGCAAGGGUGAGAUUUAGGUGUAAGGGCAGUGCGUGUUCGUCGGGAACCUGGUGCAUAAGAUCGGUCAAGGCCCGUUCUUACACUGAAAAUUGCGAAUUGCGAAUAAUUGAAUCGAUUGCUCUAAAUCUUAAUAAACACUUGAUUCUACAUUUCAUUUAUUCAAUCUAUUUAAGAAUGAAAAACCUUUUUAAAAGACAUUCAACAUGGAAUCCGUCCGUGUGGAUCAUCAUUGCUACAAGACUAUUCAAAACCGCUGGCGGUUAACAGAGUAUUUUUUUAUUCAAACAAGCCUUACCCGACAAACUUCGUUCUGCCUUUUUUUCGUUUGUUGACGUUUUAGUUCUUUUGCUUACUCAGCCUCCUGUGAUCAAAUUUUGAUUUUACGUAACGUUUCCUAUACAAUCUGCCGGUUGUCCGGAAUCGGUUCCAGAGUGGCCAAAGUAAAUGUUGGUCCCGGUCUAACCUAGAGGUUAGGUCGAUAGCUCAGUCCAGGUGUAGGAGUCGUCUCUCUGGGUCCUGCCUCGGUGGAGUCGCUGGUAUGCAUUUGGACUCACAAUCCAAAGGUCGUCAGUUCGAAUCCCGGGGUGGAUGGAAGCUUAGGUGUAAAAAGCGGUUUGCAAUUGCCUCAACAAUCAAUCCUUCGGACACCUAGUUUCGAGUAGGAAUCUCGUAAUCGAGAACGCCAAGGCAAUGCUGUAGAGCGAAUAAUUUGAUUUUUUGAGUGGCCAAAGUUGUAACUUUUUGGCGUAAGAAUUUUAUUCAAAUUUGAUCAAAGAAUCCAAGAUGCAAUUUGGAUUAGGAAUAUCUUUCAUUUCUAUUAUCAGUACAGUCAUCCCUCAUAUUCGGAACAGUUUACAGAUCGGCCAAUGUUCAAAAAAUCAUAGCAAAUCGAUAUUUGAACAUAAUGAUACGCUUUUACCUUCAUGUGAAAGCUUUUCUUGCGAUCUUUCGAUUGAUGUAUUGACCGACUGUAAUUUUUUACGUUUUAUAUCAAGUUUUCAAAGAAAAACAUUGACCCUUGAAAUCCACAAAUUCGGAACACUUUUUUCUUACGGAUGUAACCAAACUUUGGAUCUCUCCAGGAGUACACAUUUUCAACAAAAUAAGGACUUCACACACUGGAACCGAUGAAACUAAAGCUUUGUAAUGUUUUAUGAAUGUUCUGAUAACUUUUUUGUGAAAAUAUCUGUUAAACUCAGGUGUUCCACAAUUGUGGGAGGCACAAUAACAUCCCACAAUUAUGGAACAGGCAAUAUGGAGGCAGUGUUUUUCUGAUCUGAAUAAAAUUGUCUCUAAAUGCAGUUUUUUGUUCAAA